UACGUAGGGGGCGAGCGUUGUCCGGAAUCAUUGGGCGUAAAGCGCGUGUAGGCGGCUUGAUAAGUCUGGUGUGAAAUCUUGGGGCUUAACCCCAAGCCUGCACUGGAUACUGUCAAGCUUGAGUCCGGGAGGGGAGAGCGGAAUUCCUAGUGUAGCGGUGAAAUGCGCAGAUAUUAGGAAGAACACCGGUGGCGAAGGCGGCUCUCUGGAACGGUACUGACGCUGAGACGCGAAAGCGUGGGGAGCGAACAGG
rnacentral:rRNA from 1 species